rnacentral:rRNA from 1 species
GGACUACCGGGGUAUCUAAUCCUUUUUGCUCCCCACGCUUUCGUCUCUCAGUGUCAGGGUCGUCCCAGCUAACUGCCUUCGCUUUUGGUGUUCCCGACCAUAUCAACGGAUUUCACCCCUACUUGGUCAGUUCCGUUAGCCUCUAACGCCCUCUGAGCAUAGCAGUAUUGAAAGCGUCUCAAAGGUUGAGCCGAUGAGUUUUGACUUUCAACUUACUACGCCACCUACAGACUCUUUACGCCCAAUAAAUCCGGGUAACAUUUGGGGAUUCUGUAUUACCGCGGCUGCUGGCAC